AUUUCAAUAGCGGAUUAUACAUACAUAUACAUCCACUGUAAUCAAGUUCAUCCGGCAGAGAUGGUGUCUAAAAGGAAUAAACGUGAAGUCGACGAACCGCUUAAGAAAACCCUAAAUGGUUCAAUGACAAAUAUUUUAAAAAUCUUAAUCUCCGCUCUUGAAUCUUCUGAGGGUAUCAACUUAGAACUUUUGAAGAGUUUAUAUCA